CCUACGGGAGGCAGCAGUGAGGAAUAUUGGUCAAUGGACGAGAGUCUGAACCAGUCAAGUAGCGUGAAGGAUGACUGCCCUAUGGGUUGUAAACUUCUUUUAUAUGGGAAUAAAAUGUUCCACGUGUGGGAUUUUGUAUGUACCAUAUGAAUAAGGAUCGGCUAACUCCGUGCCAGCAGCCGCGGUAAUACGGAGGAUCCGAGCGUUAUCCGGAUUUAUUGGGUUUAAAGGGAGCGUAGGUGGAUUGUUAAGUCAGUUGUGAAAGUUUGCGGCUCAACCGUAAAAUUGCAGUUGAAACUGGCAGUCUUGAGUACAGUAGAGGUGGGCGGACUUCGUGGUGUAGCGGUGAAAUGCUUAGAUAUCACGAAGAACUCCGAUUGCGAAGGCAGUUCACUGGACUGCAACUGACACUGAGGCUCGAAAGUGUGGGUAUCAAACAGGAUUAGAUACCCCUGUAGUC
rnacentral:rRNA from 1 species